UCCUAACUCCUUCCUGUGUGUUGCCUGAUCUUGGCUUUAGUUCCCUUGCCCCUUUCAGAUUCCGUUGUUUCUUCCUGGUCCGGAUCACGGACCCUGGCCCGGCCUCACCCUGGUCUCGAUUUCUCUCGUCAAAGAAUUGCAGGUUUUAGGAUGGAGAAGUCAGUCCUUUUGUCUCCGGAGACCUCAACCCCCGCCCUCUGUCGCCACCAAGUGUCCGAUGGUCGGUACUGCAGCGUCAGGUCACGGUCGCACUCCGCUCGGGACGAACAACUAACUACAGACUUAACUUUAGGGCAACCAAGCAACCCACCCUGAGGCCAAGCAGCUAGAGGCCUCUGGGAAGAGGAGACCCGCCGGGAAAGGUCUCCCGGAGCAGAGAAUCCAUACCCCGCGCGCGGAAGCCAGAUUCUCUGAGCCCUGCGCUGCUGGGGCUCUGUGAUGACUUCCGUGAUCCGCCCGCCGCCAUCUCAGGCGCGCAGGAGCUUUGCGUUUACCCUAGGCCUUCUGGGAAUAGUUGCAAGGAAGUAAUUGUUUCCGGACAUUGAUCUGCGUCUUCUUGGUCGAUUUGAGAAAUAAUUUGUUUUCCUGGGGAGAAGCAAGGUUUAUCUGUGCCGGCAGCUGGGAUUUCUCUUUUCCUUUUAUGGUAGGAAAAAAGAGCAUUUUUAAACCUUUCGGAAAGACGUCCUACUUUAAUUAGAUCAGACUUUAAAAGAGGUUUAGGUUGCCAGAGGGGAAAGUGCCUCUUGUGUGGCCUGGAAGCUCUAUGGUCCAACCCCACCCCCUCACAGAUGGCUCUGUGAACAUUGACCCUAGAGUCAGAGUCCUGGAGUGCUCCUUCCUUGAUGACACAAAACCAUCCUAAUUACUGGCAGGUUUGCUGAAGAAUUCCCAGUAUUAAUUUGAUCUGGGAAGAGAGCUAGGGAUUUUCUCAGUCUCAAGGAAAUGCGUUCAGUUAAGCUGAAGGAAAGAAAAUGCUGCUCUCCAGGGAAUGCAGGCUGCUUCUGCCUCAGGAUUGGGAAACAGAGACUCCAGGAAGGCACAAGCAAAACCCUGUGUGCACCAGGACCCAGGAGAAAGGAACAGUGACCCCACAAGAGACUGAGCCAGACUUGCCUGUGAGUGUGUGGGAGUCUCCGGCGGAGGUGUGGGUUGACAGUGGCUUGUCGCGGGCCAGGGGCACUGGCAGCAGCAGUCCUGGGAGGCCGUUGCCAUUACCUGUACCAUAGAGCGUGUAGUCUACUAUAGUGACUGCAAAGUCUAGGACUGGGCCGCCUCGGGCCAAACUACAGGGAGGCAGCACAGUCCCAGCCGUCAGGGGAAAUUUGGAUUGAAGAUUUACUGAGCAUGGCCCUGCCUACC